UCCCCCGGUGUCCGCAAAUUCGCUUUUGUUUAUUUUCCUGAAAAGCUAAAUAAGCCAGUGAGACUGAGCAGCUCCACACCAGACGUGCGUUUUCAUUGUAAAAAUAUUUUUGCGGGUCGGAAAAUUGCACCAAAAUGUUUUCACAGGCAAAGCGCUGCCGUGUGCUGCUCAGCCCUGCGACCAGCGGCCACCAGGGAAGGGGCCGCCGAUGUGCACCUCGGGUGCGCAUUCCAGGAAUCAUAGCAACAAACAUUCAGGAAGCACGUACCAUGGGGCGGUUUGCCAUUUUCUAGGGUGAAGUUAUCUAUGGACAGUCGCACAACUACAGCUUGUUGCCAAUCUAGAGAAAGCCGAGAACAUUCCACGCACGUAGGACCAUCAGAGCCAGAGAGGCUUGGAAUCUGGUCCUGUGCCAGCACAGAGCAGGCCCACGGAGGCCGCCUGCGGCCGAGCGAGGCCUGCCUCCAGCCAUGCCUCAGCCCCAGCUCCCAGGAACUCACAGGGCCAUCUUUUUCCUGAAAUAGCUCCAGACACCCGCCAACCCCGUGGCCUGGUGCUCGGGUGGGGAAGCGUGAGGCGCCGGGUGCAGGAAGGGAAAGGGCCGGGCUGGGCGCACUCGGAGGCAGCCGUCGCUCCCGGGCUGGCGGGGGCACCCCGGGGCGGUGGGAGGGACGAGGGCUCUUGUGACUCUGGCCAUCGGCGCCGUUGCGGCCGCUGACCCUGGCGGGACGAGAUCCACCAUGUGGGUUUACCGACCUCCUCCUCAAGGACCGGGCCGCGGCGAUCCCUUGGAGUGUCCCUGGGCCUGGCACGGAUUUGUCGCUCGUGGGUGCUUGGUGACGGAUGGCGUGGAGCUCGGGUCCCGCUGCCCUGCCUCUGGCUCUGUGGACGAGUAUUCUAGGGCUCACAAGCCUCGCCCGGGGCUGGAGCCCCCCGCGACCGGGGGAGCAGGGGACGACAGUCUGUGGGGUCUGUCACGGCUGGGACAAGGACAGCCUCAGAUGGAAGCUUCCGGAGCGGUCUGGUCGAGCCCCCGGCACACCGGUGGGGGGCCAGUAACUGUGGGAUGAAGGAAAGUGCUCGGCUGUCAGCCUCGUUUCCGUGUCAGGCGUCCAUCCGCCCCUCAGCGGGCACAUGAGGUCACGGCGGCCGGAAGAACACAGCACACGCUCUCGCUGUUGUCUCCGUGCGGCCAGAGGGAGGCACAGUGCCGGACAUGGAGGGCGUCUCUGUAAACCCUGUCUGAACGCGGAGACAAAGGGGAUUUUAUAAACCACUUGCUUUUGCCAAACCAGCACAGCUGCCCAAUCCUGGAGUGUGCAUGUGUGUAUACGUGAGGGGUGUGUGUGCGUGUGUUGGACACGUGCGAGUGUGCACCUGUGUCUGUGUGCACACAUAUGGGGGGGGGGGACAGAGAUCAGCCCUGUGGGCUCCAGGGAUGGAGGCUAAGGAGGGUCCAGAGGGCCUGGCUGAGUCAGAAGCCAGUGGUCAGAGCAGAUGGAAACGUGUGGAGAGCAUAGGACUGCUUCCGAAGAGGGGGCAGGCGAGUGACAGCUGCAGAGGGCAGGGGUGCGGGGAGGGGGGGCCGGCCAGUGGGGCCGUGCCGUCACCACCGCCCCGGAACAGCGUUUCCCAGACCUCCCCGCGGGCCGGCCACCCUGCUGAGCUCGUACAGACACCGGCCCAUUCGGCCCUCGCCCCAGCCGCAAGGGGCAGGACUCUGACUCCCCUGGUCAGCAGAGGGCUUGACCCAAGACACAGGAAGUGACUCGUCCAAGGUCCCCAGCUGGUGAAAGGCGGAGCUGACGGCAGCCCCUGGGCUCGAGCCGCUGUGCUGUCUGAGGCUCCAAGGAGCGGCAUGGUGCGUGGACGUCCUGACUUCUGUUGGUGGUUAAUUUACGUCUCAGCCUGGCUGGGCUACGAUGUCCAGCCACACAGUCAAACGUUAUUCUGGGUGUUUCUGUGACCACCGUCUUUGGCAUGAGAUGAACAUUUACAUCGGUAGACUUUGAGUAAAGCAAAUUACCCUCCAUUAAGUGGAUGGGCCUCUUCCAAGCAGUAGACGGCCUGGAGAGAACAGAAGAGUGACCUCCCCUGAGCGAGAGGAAAUUCCACCAGCCGACGGACUUGGACAGAAACAUCGCCUCCUCCCUGGUCUCCGGCCUGCCAGCCCGCUCGCCCUACAGAGCCUGGACUUGCCCGUCUCCAUAACCGCGUGAGCCCAACCCUUCUAACGAAUCUCUUUAUUGUUCUGUUUCAACGGACAACCUUGGCCAAAUAUGCUUCCUCAGGAGCAGACAUCGGUAGAACUGGGCAAUCGGAAAUUAACUCCCGUGGAAACUUCCGGGCACCCGGCGUGGCCCAGGCAGGGGUUCAAACCGGCGAGCUGUGAGGGGUGAGGUGGGUUCUAGAGCAGGAAGGAGUGGAGUAGGGCAACAGGGGUGGCGGAUAGGGGCCAGGUCGCCCGAUACAGUCCACCUCUGCACGUUCUCGCUGCGUGGCCACAAGCAAGCCAUCUGAGGCCAAAGCUCCCGCCACCAGCCCUGCCUGGGGAGCAGAGCACCUCGUUUCCCGCCACUGGGUUCUCUCCCUGCUCCCCGGGCUCCCACGACAUCAUGUGUCAUCCCCUUGGCGGUGGCCUCGGCGUAAUCAAACACCCCUGAGUCAGAUGUUGCAGAAUUAACAAUCCCCCACGUGGUAUAAACAGAGUUUAAAUCAAAUGCAGUGAAAGGAUAUUGCCUUUUAAAUCGACCCUGACAGCUGUGGAAAAUAUUAUGCCCAAAUAGAAUCCUUACAUACGACAGACAUUAAUUCUUCGAGAACCCCUAAACGGGUCCUCCGGAUCGUUUGUAAGAUUUUAUUUUAUUAUGGAUUGGAUGUAUUGAAGUAAGACUAUAAUCUUAUUGUGCUCUGACCUCUGUUUUUAUAGCUCUGUAUAAACAGCAGUUACCGUGUUAGAGGGAGAGAUGUUUACAGACGGAGAAAUAAAAACACGCCGCUUUA